rnacentral:rRNA from 2 species
UAUACAUGCAAGUCGAGCGAACUGAUUAGAAGCUUGCUUCUAUGACGUUAGCGGCGGACGGGUGAGUAACACGUGGGCAACCUGCCUGUAAGACUGGGAUAACUUCGGGAAACCGAAGCUAAUACCGGAUAGGAUCUUCUCCUUCAUGGGAGAUGAUUGAAAGAUGGUUUCGGCUAUCACUUACAGAUGGGCCCGCGGUGCAUUAGCUAGUUGGUGAGGUAACGGCUCACCAAGGCAACGAUGCAUAGCCGACCUGAGAGGGUGAUCGGCCACACUGGGACUGAGACACGGCCCAGACUCCUACGGGAGGCAGCAGUAGGGAAUCUUCCGCAAUGGACGAAAGUCUGACGGAGCAACGCCGCGUGAGUGAUGAAGGCUUUCGGGUCGUAAAACUCUGUUGUUAGGGAAGAACAAGUACGAGAGUAACUGCUCGUACCUUGACGGUACCUAACCAGAAAGCCACGGCUAACUACGUGCCAGCAGCCGCGGUAAUACGUAGGUGGCAAGCGUUAUCCGGAAUUAUUGGGCGUAAAGCGCGCGCAGGCGGUUUCUUAAGUCUGAUGUGAAAGCCCACGGCUCAACCGUGGAGGGUCAUUGGAAACUGGGGAACUUGAGUGCAGAAGAGAAAAGCGGAAUUCCACGUGUAGCGGUGAAAUGCGUAGAGAUGUGGAGGAACACCAGUGGCGAAGGCGGCUUUUUGGUCUGUAACUGACGCUGAGGCGCGAAAGCGUGGGGAGCAAACAGGAUUAGAU